rnacentral:rRNA from 1 species
CGCCUGAGAUCACCGGCCCGAGCAAGGUGCCACCGAGCACUGCUCCUAGGUCCUCGCAGCUAAGACACAUACCCUCUACAGUUAGAUUGGUACAAUGAUCUCUGACUUGGUGACUUGUGCUACAUCUGAAUUUUGCAAGUAAUUGAAAAUCUGAUCUCUCCUGUUGUACUGCGAGCUAGAAAGGUGGGUAUCUUAAUUCAGAAUGUUAUUAGAAUCUUAUGGACUGCCAUUUACUUGCACAACAUAUGCAGUCAUCUUAUUUGAUCCUUCACUGUCAUAUCACGUCAGGCUGGGGGAAUUGUAACAGGAAAAAACCUGGGUUGUCUCUCCUGAUUGCAAUGAUUUUAGCCCACAAUUUUCAUUUGAUUGAUGUUCUGAAGUAGCUUACUCAAGUCCAGGUUCUCCAAUGAUGUGCAGAACUCUUGCAGGCACCUUUGUAAUUGCAAAAAUUAAGACAAGCUAUGAAGGGACCUUUUCUUGAUCCCUUCAUAGCUUGUCUUAAGUUUUGUUAUGAAUCUGUUCUUGCACUAAUAUCAUAUCAUCCUAAAUGUGAAACCCAGCUACAUGAACUAAAAUUUCUCAUAUCGAAAGAGUCGAGAAGGGAAGCUACUCAAUAUUAUGUUAGGCACUUUGUCAUGGUUCGUCCUCAGAAGCUUCUAUACAUCGCCAUUGGUAGCUGUUGACUGUUGCAAGGACACGAACCAUAUCACAGUUGCAAGAGAGAAUUCGAUAUUAUCAUCGGGUUUGAAGGAAAGAUGUUGCAUGGCCCUCUUGUUUCAAUUGUGUCCUGGUAGUGAUUUAGAGGGCACUGACAUCAAAGGUAAUGAAUCUCCAUUUUGGUUUUUGGUAUUCUUCUCAGGUAUAUAAUAAAUUGUUCGGUUCCUCCAAUUUUCUUCUUGUUAUUUUUCUGAACACAGUCGCCCCUUCCCCAGUUCUGUAAGGAUGUGCGGUUUCUGUUGAUGACCUCGUGGUUGAUUGCAGCUUGACGGAACACAGUUUCAUCAAUAAAUAUGUCCGUGUUGCUACCCUGAGAGUUAGCUUGUUUGGUAGUUGACUCAUGAUAGUUCUUUUCCUUUUAAACUGUUUUUUGAUCAGUAGUUGAUAAACCAUGUGCAAGAUUGGGA